rnacentral:rRNA from 1 species
GACGAACGCUGGCGGCGUGCCUAAUACAUGCAAGUAGAACGCUGAAGCGAGGAGCUUACUCUUCUUGGAUGAGUUGCGAACGGGUGAGUAACGCGUAGGUAACCUGCCUUGUAGCGGGGGAUAACUAUUGGAAACGAUAGCUAAUACCGCAUAACAAUGGAUGACACAUGUCAUUUAUUUGAAAGGGGCAAUUGCUCCACUACAAGAUGGACCUGCGUUGUAUUAGCUAGUAGGUGAGGUAAUGGCUUACCUAGGCGACGAUACAUAGCCGACCUGAGAGGGUGAUCGGCCACAAUGGGACUGGGACACGGCCCAGGCUCCUACGGGGGGCAGCAGUAGGGAAUCUUCGGCAAUGGGGGCAACCCUGACCGAGCAACGCCGCGUGAGUGAAGAAGGGUUUCGGAUCGUAAAGCUCGGUUGUAAGUCAAGAACGGGUGUGAGAGUGGAAAGUUCACACUGUGACGGUAGCUUACCAGAAAGGGACGGCUAACUACGUG